rnacentral:rRNA from 1 species
GACGAACGCUGGCGGCGUGCUUAACACAUGCAAGUCGAACGGAAAUGCCCUGCUUUUGUGGGGUGCUCGAGUGGCGAACGGGUGAGUAACACGUGAGUAACCUGCCCUUGACUUUGGUAUAACUUCAGGAAACUGGGGCUAAUACCGGAUAGGAGCUCCUGCUGCAUGGUGGGUGUUGGACAGUUUCGGCGGUUGGGGAUGGACUCGCGGCUUAUCAGCUUGUUGGUGGGGUAGUGGCUUACCAAGGCUUUGACGGGUAGCCGGCCUGAGAGGGUUACCGGCCACAUUGGGACUGAGAUACGGCACAGACUCAUACGGGAGGCAGCAGUGGGGAAUAUUGCACAAUGGGCGGAAGCCUGAUGCAGCAACGCCGCGUGCGGGAUGACGGCCUUCGGGUUGUAAACCGCUUUCGCAUGUGACGAAGCGUGAGUGACGGUAAUGGGUAAAGAAGCACCGGCUAACUACGUG